GUUGAUAGGCCGGAUAUGGAAGCCCUGUAAGGGGUGGAGUUGACCGGUACUAAUAGGCCGAGGGCUUGUCCUCAGUUG
rnacentral:rRNA from 1 species